AUUGAACGCUGGCGGCAGGCCUAACACAUGCAAGUCGAGCGGAUGAAGGGAGCUUGCUCCUGGAUUCAGCGGCGGACGGGUGAGUAAUGCCUAGGAAUCUGCCUGGUAGUGGGGGAUAACGUCCGGAAACGGGCGCUAAUACCGCAUACGUCCUGCGGGAGAAAGUGGGGGAUCUUCGGACCUCACGCUAUCAGAUGAGCCUAGGUCGGAUUAGCUAGUUGGUGGGGUAAAGGCCUACCAAGGCGACGAUCCGUAACUGGUCUGAGAGGAUGAUCAGUCACAAUGGAACUGAGACACGGUCCAGACUCCUACGGGAGGCAGCAGUGGGGAAUAUUGGACAAUGGGCGAAAGCCUGAUCCAGCCAUGCCGCGUGUGUGAAGAAGGUCUUCGGAUUGUAAAGCACUUUAAGUUGGGAGGAAGGGCAGUAAGUUAAUACCUUGCUGUUUUGACGUUACCAACAGAAUAAGCACCGGCUAACUUCGUG
rnacentral:rRNA from 1 species